AGAGCAAGUCAAGGUCUAAGUCAAAGAAACAAAAGGAGGAGGAUCUGUCAGCCCUAGACCACCUGUCUGGACAGCUGAGUUCAGACGUAGUGCCAGCAUCCACAAAUAAGGGUGGCAAGAGCUAGACCUCUAGGUUUCUAGCGCAGUACAUGUCCCCUGCCACACGGAGGCGCCACUCGAGGGAGCUGCUGUGA